UACCUGGUGGUCCAGUGGUGAGGACUUGGCACUUUCACUGCUGGGGCUUGGGUUCAAUUCCUGGUUGGGGAU
rnacentral:tRNA from 1 species